CAAAGGGGUUCUUCAGUCCACAGCAGGAGACAGAAAACAAGCCUGUUGACAAACUAUUGUGACCCAUCCUAUUUGUAUUUAGAACCACUGCAGCUGUCCUGAAGCUGAGGUUUACAUCCCCAUCUGCACACCCAGGAUUUUACAUCCCCAAGCAGAGCAGAAGUGCCAUGGAUGGAGGUCGUGUCAAGAAAUUCAGGUUACGUUGACCUGAAAGAAAGAUCACUAUCAGCUGCCACGCAGUCGUCAGUGCUCAUAAGCCAGGCAAACACAAGCCAGGAGCCUGAGUUCCACUGCUCCCUUAGCUGGUCAUCUAAUGUGUGUCUGCCUCUUCCCCUCAGUGAAGUUUGGGAUGAAUUACUCACUUCCCCAUUCCUCCAGCCCAAGGGCCAUCGAUGCAGUGCAACUACAGGUGCAGCCAGGCUUGCUGGGAUGCCAGAGCAGCCUGGGGCUUCUCAGCCUGUGAGAGCCAGCCCUGCGCAGCCAUCCCUACCCACACUGUCAGCAGCACCUCUGCUCACACCAAAGCCAGCCUGCCAGCACAGCACAUGGAAACCCAAAAACUCAUCCAAGAGAUUGGAGCGGGGGCUUAGGAAUGUUCAUCCAGCUUUCAGCUGAAGCUCCAUGCAUUUUAAGGGGCUGAGCAGUGCAACACUCACACAUGCUGCACUACUGCACAUCAGGAGAUGAAGACUUGAUGUAUUUUGGAAGGUCUUGCAACCAAAAUAAAGGGCAAACCUUCUCUAGG
rnacentral:lncRNA from 7 species